CGGUUGAAACAUAGGUUCCCCUACAAUCGCCGAAGUUAAGCAACGUCGAGCCUGAUCAGUACCUACAUAGGUGACCGCUUGGGAAUAUCAGGUAUUGUAAG